GACGAACGCUGGCGGCGUGCUUAACACAUGCAAGUCGAACGAUGAAGCCGGAGCUUGCUCUGGUGAAUUAGUGGCGAACGGGUGAGUAACACGUGAGUAACCUGCCCUUGACUCUGGGAUAACUGCGGGAAACUGUAGCUAAUACCGGAUACGACCCUCGGAGGCAUCUCCUGGGGGUGGAAAGAAUUUCGGUCAAGGAUGGACACGCGGCUUAUCAGCGAGUUGGUGAGGUAAAGGCUCACCAAGGCGACGACCGGUAGCCGGCCUGAGAGGGUGACCGGCCACACUGGGACUGAGACACGGCCCAGACUCCUACGGGAGGCAGCAGUGGGGAAUAUUGCACAAUGGGCGCAAGCCUGAUGCAGCAACGCCGCGUGAGGGAUGACGGCCUUCGGGUUGUAAACCUCUUUUAGCAGGGAAGAAGCGAAAGUGACGGUACCUGCAGAAAAAGCACCGGCUAACUACGUGCCAGCCGCCGCAGUAA
rnacentral:rRNA from 1 species